ACGGAGGAUGCGAGCGUUAUCCGGAUUUAUUGGGUUUAAAGGGUGCGUAGGCGGAUAGAUAAGUCAGUGGUGAAAUUCUGCAGCUUAACUGUAGACUUGCCGUUGAUACUGUCAGUCUUGAGUAUGGUAAAGGCAGGCGGAAUGUGUAAUAUGGCAGUUGAAUGUUGGGAUAUUACACAGAACGCCUAUGGCGAAGGCAGCUUGCUAAUCUAUUUCUGACUCUGAUGCGCGGAAGCUUGGGGAGCGAACAG
rnacentral:rRNA from 1 species